rnacentral:rRNA from 1 species
UACAGGGGUGCAAACGUUGCUCGGAAUCAUUGGGCGUAAAGCGCACGUAGGCGGUUCGUUAUGUCGGAUGUGAAAGCCCUUGGCUUAACCGAGGAAGUGCAUCCGAAACUGGCGAGCUAGAGUACGAAAGAGGAUCGCGGAAUUCCCGGUGUAGAGGUGAAAUUCGUAGAUAUCGGGAGGAACACCGGUGGCGAAGGCGGCGAUCUGGGUCGAUACUGACGCUGAGGUGCGAAAGCGUGGGGAGCAAACAGGG